rnacentral:lncRNA from 1 species
UUUGCAUCACAUGAUCACAACAUAGAUUUCAGACUGAUUAUACACAAUUGUGUCACAACAUGUGUCAAGCUAAAGACAUGCAGAAGAAAAAACAUCUGCAAUUUUGUGAUUUAGGCCAAGGGAAGAAAAAACAUCUGCAAUUUUGUGAUUUAGGCCAAGGAACUAUUUCUGGGCAGGGAUAUAGGAAGGUACUGAUACUCUGUACCACAGCAUUACUCUAAACAUUUCUCAUUUUAAGGAAAAAAAAUCAACCUAUCAUGAUGUUCAAAUGAACCACGCACAUCAUGUUGCUAUCAUGGGCACCUUACAAGCUGAUGAAUAGGCAGCAAAUAGCAGCAUUUGUUUUUUUAGCGUACACCUCUAGAAAAUAAAGUGCAAUAACAGGACCAAUCAAUUCAGGAAUAGAACAUAAAAUUCCCAUAACAAAAAACUAAACACUAGAACAUGACAUGAUCAACCAUGGAAAGGCAAUUUAAUCAAUGUUUAGAGGGAUGAAAUCAGUUAUCAGACCCUUGUUCAGAUAGUACUUCAGCCUCAACUGCAGUAGGUUUCUUCCACACUCUGUCAGUACUCCUCUCCAGCACUUCGCCGUUCUCGUUCUCCUCGCCUUGGACUGGGGAAACCCUCCUCCCAGAGGACCUAACCUCAGGUGGUGCUUCACNNNNNNNNNNNNNNNNNNNNNNNNNNNNNNNNNNNNNNNNNNNNNNNNNNNNNNNNNNNNNNNNNNNNNNNNNNNNNNNNNNNNNNNNNNNNNNNNNNNNUGUGUGUGUGUGUGUGUGUGUGUGUGCUGUCUUUAGUACACACCCUCUUCCAUACACAUUUUCCUUUAACUAAAAUUAACUGCAACCUUUUCAGUUAACUCAAACAUUCAUUCUCUUCUCUGAACUGUUUGUUAUGUAAAACUGUCGUUGAUGAACUGUUGCUGCUAUGUCAAACUGUUGUUGUUGUAUGCUGCUACUACUGCAUUACUGUUUCUGCUGAUGUACUCAAUUAUUGUUUCUGCUAAUGUACUCAAUUACUGCUGAUGGAGUAUGUCAAAUUGCUGCUGCUAUGAAACAGUUUGAGUCAAAUUGAUGCUACUGCUGCUGCUACUCGAUUACUGCUUCUGGUCUUCUCAAUUACUCAAGUGAUCAAUUGAUUUGCAGGAGAAGGAGCAACAGCCAUGGAGUACUCCAGGAGCAGAUCAUGCCCAAAGGGACCACACCCAGGAGAUGGUCGUGGAUCAAACUGCUGCGCCCCGGGGCUGGUGCUUGUGAUGAGCGACGAGGAGAAGCAGGGACCUGGGAGCGCAUGGAUGAUGGAUGCGCGAAGGAUGAGCGCCUUGGACCUAGAUGAUGGAUUCGCCUGGGGCCUGGGAGCGACGGAGGAUGGACGCCUGGGAGUGCCGAGGAGAAGCGAUUUGAAAUCCUAGGAGCAAAGGGGGAAGACGACGAUGGGGAUAGCGAUUCAAAACAGGGGUAGCGUUGUAAAUUCCUUCAUUUCAAAACAGGGCCUCGAAAUGUUCUCUUCAACGCCAUAUAUUUCAAAACGGUGGGAGCAGUUUCAUGCCUAUAUUGAGCACCAUUGUGUCUCGCUCCCAUCACAAUUGAAUAUUUCUCCAUUGUAUUGUUAUCGUAUAUGAAUACGCAUGAUAAACCUGGAUUACUAUCGAUGCUUCAAAACAUUUGGACCGACACCCAUCAUACAAGUACUGCACAUGUUUCUACUGCUUUUGUACGCACAGAUCUAUUUAGCUAAGAAAAAAAAGGGCCCGCCAAAAAAUUGAAGUUCAGGACAGUCACAUAGUGUACUAGAGGCAAAAUGGUCUAUUUACCUCACACUGAACACCGUAAGUGACAAAAAUAGACUGAAAUGUCACCGAGGGAACAAAAUAAAGUUUUGAGUGUCAAAAUGGGAAGAACAAAUUGUUUUGGGCCAAAAAGGGAAGGGGAUUUUAAGAAUGGGACAAAAAGGGAAGGGGAUUUUAAGAAAGGCCAAAUAAAGAAUUCUCUCUCAAAUAUGCUACCACCCAAAAUGCACAGUAACAAAAUUGUGAGGCCCCUCAAGCGCUGUCAUGAACAGCGUCUCACAAACACAAUGUCCAUACCAAAAAUCUACACCAUGUGACGAUUAUCAUGUGCCCAAACAGUGAUGAGAAAAUAAACAGAUAACUCUUGUUACAACUCUUGCCGCACAUGACUAACAAAAAUAAUAAGGCUAGUUUUUUUUUGCGUGUAAAAUAAUAAGGCUAGUGAAUAUAUUAAGUAGACUCGAAUUGUGAAGCGUCUUCAUAACAUGUGAGGCCAUACAUUAAUUUGCAGGUGCAGCUCCUGUAACCUCUGAUCUGCAUUUGCAAAACCAAUCUUUCAUCCAUUAGAGACAAAAUACUGGCACAAAAAUAGAAGACCGUCAUAAGAUGCUAACGAUGCUUGCUAUUCGAAUGAAGCUGUAACAAGAUCUCAAACGGAAGAAAAUAACAUCACCGUCACCUUAUAACAUACUCCCUCCGUUCAGAAAUAACAUAUUACAGGAGAUUAGUAAGCUAUGAAGGCCAUCUCCAAUGGACGUACGCUAAUUUAGAUGCACUCGCAUUUACAAUGCUAAGCACGUUAGCAUAGGCAAACUGCUGGUGUGGCAGCCACAACGUUGGGAUGAAAAAAAAUCCUUAUAACUAAUUAAAUACAUUACUUAUAAUAACUAAUUAAAUACAUUACUUAUAUAGAACCCAAUGCAUAAAAUACACAAGAAACAGACAGGCGCCAGGCACAAAAUUGAACGCCAGGUUUAGGGUGGAAAUAAAUUCUACACUAGCAAAACUACCGGGAUUAUUUCCCCUAGCAACAACCUUAAGCAUCCCAUUGGAGAUGGCCGAAGUGAUCAGAAGAGACGUGAGCACAUUUGUCCAUUCACAGCCUAGGACGUUCAUACAAAGAUUUAAAUCGCCGGCGAAAUCUGCCCGCGAUUUGCAUGGCUCGGUAAAUCGCCGGAGAUCGCGGCGCUAUCGCGGGCGAUUGUGCCAUUCCUUCGUUAACCGUCGCAGCAAAAAUCUCAGCUGCGAUUCACCUUCGCCCGCGAUUUUAAUCUAUGCGUUCAUACAUCCCAAUCCCACAAAACAAGAAAAUUAUUCUGAUAAAGCUUAACAUAACCAAGAAACCAGGCUCAACAUAACCAACAAACUAACAAGGUAUUGCAAUGUAAACAACUUUACACUAUACAAUAGCAUAUCAAAGAUUAAUCUUCUCUUUUUUCUCAAAAAAAUAAAUAAAUAAUCAUAACCCAUGCCAACAGGACUGUUGUUGAAUUAUAGUUCAGACAAGAUUGGUAUAUACUAUAUCUGAGGUGACAAGCUUAACAUCGCUUGAAAAUUCUUUCUAGUGAGUUAUCAUAGUAUAGCCAUAAGCCAAGCAUGCUGAACUGGCCAGAUCUUGUCAUAAGUUAUCUUCACCAUCACAUCCCCUAAUAUACACAGUUGUCAUAAAUGUUAACUACAAUGAUCAAAACAGUGGAUGCGAUCAUUUAACCAAUGACCACUGCAUUGACAGGUGUUCAAAUUGACCAUGUCAUCUCUAUUUAUACGUACUAAAUAAAAGCACACGAAAUAGCAGUCAUCUCCAACAAGCGACCAAAGGAGGGUUAGGUGGAUUGUGUAAUUGGUUGACUGGAACAGCAAGGAAGUCUCCUGGAGAGGCAAACAAACACAUCGCUCGAAUAAUUCUGAAGAUACCAAGCCAGACAAUGACAUAGCUAGCAUAAAUCCGUUUAGAACAAGGAUACAGGAUACAUGCCCAGUAGUGACAGCUAGUUGCGAGAACUGUGUCAGUGCACUGCAAGAACAUGUUGGAGAAAAUAACUGUACACAUUGAUUUUGUACAGUUUCGUAACCAUGAUUUUCUUAGCAACAGAACUCAAAAGUGUUAUUCUGGUCCACAAUGAUGCCAUGCAUGCCGCCCGAGCAUUGGAGUGCUAGUAUAUUUUGAACUGCAAAAACGUCUUAUAUAUUGGGACAGAGGUAGUACUAUCUAGACACUUCCAAGUCCUGAGAAAUGCAAGUUUGGCCUAAAUUGGGUACAUUUGUUUUCCCUCUUUUUUGCAGAUUGGGUGUAUUUGUUCUAACAAAACACAGCCAGCAUAUGCUGCUAGAAUUAAGGAUACCAAUCAUUAUUCCGUUUUAACUAUAGAGGGUAUAUGCCCUGUAGUGACAGCUAGUUGCAAGAACCAUGCCAGUGCACUGUACUCCAGGAGAAGAGUACAUGUUGGAGAAAUAACUGUAGACAAUUAUCUUGAAAAAGUUUCAUCAGCAAGAUUGUCUUAGCAACAAAAACCACAAGCAUUAUUCUGACCCACUAUUCGUGCCAUGCAUGCUGUCCGGGAAUUGGAAUGGUCGUAUAUGGCACCUUUAAUGAUACUACCUAGACAUUUCCUUGAGAUAUGAAGUUUAGUUGAAAAUGGGUAACUUUAUUAUGGCAUAUUUAUACUGAAGGGCCAGUAUAUAAUUGAAGAAUUUCCACAGCUUUUCACAGUUGGUUUGGUUCCAUGAUACUAUAACUGAAUUGGCAGAUGCCAACACCUACAACUCUUAAGCUCAAACAACACAGGGUUGCUAAAAAAUAGAAUGCUAAAUAUUAUUAGAUAGCCUUCUGUCUUGUUAUCAAAUUGGCGAUGCCAAAUGAUACUUAUUUGUCUUUGGCAAGAGGCUGAAUUUCAAAGGCCCAUGCGUUAAUCAUGAUUCAAUGAUUUGGACUUACUGUUAAAAAUAUCUGCCAAUUAAUCCCUGCUCGGUUGGUCACCAAGAUUAACAGAUUUAUCAGCCGAAGAAUUGGCCGAUUCGCCUACUAAUCCCCUACUCUCCAGCUUACCAAGAAGUUACCAGUUAAUGAUUUCCUGAACAUUAUUUUUUUUCAGUAGUUUAUAUAUGGAGGGAUCAAUCAAUGACAAAAGGUGUGUAUGUUAGUGCAGCAAAAGCAAAUGAAAACAGGGACACUUCUAGUUCAACCAAUGCUACCAUAGAAGCAUAUUUUAACUACAAAAUAAAUUUGCAUCACAUGAUCACAACAUAGAUUUCAGACUGAUUAUACACAAUUGUGUCACAACAUGUGUCAAGCUAAAGACAUGCAGAAGAAAAAACAUCUGCAAUUUUGUGAUUUAGGCCAAGGGAAGAAAAAACAUCUGCAAUUUUGUGAUUUAGGCCAAGGAACUAUUUCUGGGCAGGGAUAUAGGAAGGUACUGAUACUCUGUACCACAGCAUUACUCUAAACAUUUCUCAUUUUAAGGAAAAAAAAUCAACCUAUCAUGAUGUUCAAAUGAACCACGCACAUCAUGUUGCUAUCAUGGGCACCUUACAAGCUGAUGAAUAGGCAGCAAAUAGCAGCAUUUGUUUUUUUAGCGUACACCUCUAGAAAAUAAAGUGCAAUAACAGGACCAAUCAAUUCAGGAAUAGAACAUAAAAUUCCCAUAACAAAAAACUAAACACUAGAACAUGACAUGAUCAACCAUGGAAAGGCAAUUUAAUCAAUGUUUAGAGGGAUGAAAUCAGUUAUCAGACCCUUGUUCAGAUAGUACUUCAGCCUCAACUGCAGUAGGUUUCUUCCACACUCUGUCAGUACUCCUCUCCAGCACUUCGCCGUUCUCGUUCUCCUCGCCUUGGACUGGGGAAACCCUCCUCCCAGAGGACCUAACCUCAGGUGGUGCUUCACNNNNNNNNNNCCCACCCACCGCGCGCCUCCCGCGCCACCCAGGCAAUGGAUCCAGCCCCACCGUGCAGCCCACGUGACGGAUCCGGCCGCCGUAGGCCCACAGCACAGUCCCGGUGACUCCCUGGACCUUUCUGCCCUCGAUCUCACCUGCUCCCCUCAGUGUUUCUCCAUCGUCACCAAGCUGUUGCAUCCACAUCCCUCCCUCCUCUUUGGCCAUGACGGCGACCUGUGAUGGGCUCCCACGGCUACCUACAUGGGUCCUCACGUGCAGUUUGCCGGCGCGCAGCAGCACCCGCGUUCAUUUCGCUGAGGGGCAGAGGCCCCCGCAUGUAGUUCUCCGGCAGGAAGUGCGGCAGCACCACCCGUGUAGUUAAGUAGCCCCCCACUAUAGUUGGCCAUGCUGCCAUAUGCAGUUUGCUGGAGGGACAGAGAAGGUUCUCUCAUCAGGGGGAGUCGACGUCGCAACCUUGCAGUCCACAGCGAGCCGCACUGCAUUCAUGUAGUUUGCGUGUACCAUGAAGUCCACUGUUAGCUCUCGUUUGUUACAAAAAUUUGGUGGUUCACUUCUGUUUAUGGAAAACACGAGGAGUAUACUUUCUUUUUGGAUGUGGUUCACUUGUACUAUGCGUUGGUUGAUUUUCAUGUUUUAAAAGUUUUGCACUUCCCAUGUUCAGUUUCCGAGAAGUUCUAAAUUGUUGCUGAUUUGGAAUGGGCAUAUGCAGUUCGGCAGAUGGUCAAGCAGUGCACCAUGGUCCACGGGCAUGGGAAGUGCGGCGUGUGGGUGCAUGCAGUAUGCAACGCUCCUGUUCUACUAUUUUUUCUUGAACUGGCUACUGCUGAUUUUGUGUGUAUGUAUGUGUGUGUGGCUGUGCAAAAGAAAAGAUGGAUGUAUUGUGUCCAUGAGCAUCAUCGUACUUUGUUUUAUGUUUUGUGAGGUUCAUUUGUUCUUUAAAUUACUCAAAGAAUGUUGGUGCAAGGUAAAAAAAAGUUGAUGCAAAGAAAUGUAAUUUUAAAUGCAGUCCACUCGCCUCAUUCAUGCAACUCGCUAACAUUGAUCAUGUGGUCGAGAUAAAUUUGAAAGUGCUCCUAAACCGUAGUGAAUUAGAGAAAGUAAUAUGACUAUUUUGUAGACUCCACGCAUGGUAGGGCCUCUCUUCUAUAGACUCAGUACUUGCAGUAUCUCGGAGCAUCUUGGAGUAGCUUCUUGGAGACUUACGGUAUCAUCUUGGAGUAGUUAGAGUACUCCAAAAAGACAGUGGUUAGUGGAGGAAGAGAGUUUCUUCAACAUACUCCAUCUGAAGAUUUAAGUGCAGUAUUCCUUGCAGUAAUUAUUACAGCGUUGCUAUAGUUUUGUUAAGUAUAGUACUCCUUGCAAUAAAUAUUCAGAGAAGGUGUUAAUUUUGCACAUGAAGCUACUGUUAAUGGAUUAGCUGAUCUGGUGUACUAACAGAGAAGGUGUACGGUUAAUUACAGUAUUCAGAGCACUGUUAAUUUUGGACUAUCUUGUUUCUGCUAAUGGAGUAGUUAUUCAGAAAAGGUGAUCUGGUGCAGUAGCUUGAUUUGGUGCAGAAGUUUGAUCUGAUGUAGUGAUUUUUCAGAGCAGUAGCUGAUCUUGUGUAGUAGUUAUUCAAAAAUUGAUGUAGUGCAGCUUCUCUUCUCUUUCUCUUCUCUUCUCUUCUCUUCUCUUCUCUUCUCUUCUCUUCUUAACAGUAGCAGUGCAGCUCUAGAGGAGUACUCCAUUAACAGUAGCAGUAUAUCUUCUCUUCUUUUCUCUGCUUACAAGGGGAGUAUUCCAGUAAUUUAUGUAGUUGAGCUAGCUCUUCUCUUCUCUGAAUACAGUAGUCGAGGUACAAAAAUUUUGGGAGUACAGUAUGCUGGAGUAAUAUGUUGGGAGUACAAAGAAUUUUGGCCUAAUAUAUGGAGUACUCUCUUUCCUGGAGCUAUGGAGUACUCUAGCAGUAGUUGUUGAGGAGUACAAAGAAUUUCAGUAAAGUUUCUCUUCUCUUCUCCUCUAGAGCUUCUCUUAUCUUCAUUUCUUUGUUGGAGUAGCUGUUGAGCACUAGCAAUAAUUAAAAUUUCUCUUCUCUUCUCAUCCUGCUUCAUUUAAACUCUCUCUCUCUCUCUCUCUCUGUGUGUGUGUGUGUGUGUGUGUGUGUGUGUGUGCUGUCUUUAGUACACACCCUCUUCCAUACACAUUUUCCUUUAACUAAAAUUAACUGCAACCUUUUCAGUUAACUCAAACAUUCAUUCUCUUCUCUGAACUGUUUGUUAUGUAAAACUGUCGUUGAUGAACUGUUGCUGCUAUGUCAAACUGUUGUUGUUGUAUGCUGCUACUACUGCAUUACUGUUUCUGCUGAUGUACUCAAUUAUUGUUUCUACUAAUGUACUCAAUUACUGCUGAUGGAGUAUGUCAAAUUGCUGCUGCUAUGAAACAGUUUGAGUCAAAUUGAUGCUACUGCUGCUGCUACUCGAUUACUGCUUCUGGUCUUCUCAAUUACUCAAGUGAUCAAUUGAUUUGCAGGAGAAGGAGCAACAGCCAUGGAGUACUCCAGGAGCAGAUCAUGCCCAAAGGGACCACACCCAGGAGAUGGUCGUGGAUCAAACUGCUGCGCCCCGGGGCUGGUGCUUGUGAUGAGCGACGAGGAGAAGCAGGGACCUGGGAGCGCAUGGAUGAUGGAUGCGCGAAGGAUGAGCGCCUUGGACCUAGAUGAUGGAUUCGCCUGGGGCCUGGGAGCGACGGAGGAUGGACGCCUGGGAGUGCCGAGGAGAAGCGAUUUGAAAUCCUAGGAGCAAAGGGGGAAGACGACGAUGGGGAUAGCGAUUCAAAACAGGGGUAGCGUUGUAAAUUCCUUCAUUUCAAAACAGGGCCUCGAAAUGUUCUCUUCAACGCCAUAUAUUUCAAAACGGUGGGAGCAGUUUCAUGCCUAUAUUGAGCACCAUUGUGUCUCGCUCCCAUCACAAUUGAAUAUUUCUCCAUUGUAUUGUUAUCGUAUAUGAAUACGCAUGAUAAACCUGGAUUACUAUCGAUGCUUCAAAACAUUUGGACCGACACCCAUCAUACAAGUACUGCACAUGUUUCUACUGCUUUUGUACGCACAGAUCUAUUUAGCUAAGAAAAAAAAGGGCCCGCCAAAAAAUUGAAGUUCAGGACAGUCACAUAGUGUACUAGAGGCAAAAUGGUCUAUUUACCUCACACUGAACACCGUAAGUGACAAAAAUAGACUGAAAUGUCACCGAGGGAACAAAAUAAAGUUUUGAGUGUCAAAAUGGGAAGAACAAAUUGUUUUGGGCCAAAAAGGGAAGGGGAUUUUAAGAAUGGGACAAAAAGGGAAGGGGAUUUUAAGAAAGGCCAAAUAAAGAAUUCUCUCUCAAAUAUGCUACCACCCAAAAUGCACAGUAACAAAAUUGUGAGGCCCCUCAAGCGCUGUCAUGAACANNNNNNNNNNNNNNNNNNNNNNNNNNNNNNNNNNNNNNNNNNNNNNNNNNNNNNNNNNNNNNNNNNNNNNNNNNNNNNNNNNNNNNNNNNNNNNNNNNNNNNNNNNNNNNNNNNNNNNNNNNNNNNNNNNNNNNNNNNNNNNNNNNNNNNNNNNNNNNNNNNNNNNNNNNNNNNNNNNNNNNNNNNNNNNNNNNNNNNNNNNNNNNNNNNNNNNNNNNNNNNNNNNNNNNNNNNNNNNNNNNNNNNNNNNNNNNNNNNNNNNNNNNNNNNNNNNNNNNNNNNNNNNNNNNNNNNNNNNNNNNNNNNNNNNNNNNNNNNNNNNNNNNNNNNNNNNNNNNNNNNNNNNNNNNNNNNNNNNNNNNNNNNNNNNNNNNNNNNNNNNNNNNNNNNNNNNNNNNNNNNNNNNNNNNNNNNNNNNNNNNNNNNNNNNNNNNNNNNNNNNNNNNNNNNNNNNNNNNNNNNNNNNNNNNNNNNNNNNNNNNNNCACAAACACAAUGUCCAUACCAAAAAUCUACACCAUGUGACGAUUAUCAUGUGCCCAAACAGUGAUGAGAAAAUAAACAGAUAACUCUUGUUACAACUCUUGCCGCACAUGACUAACAAAAAUAAUAAGGCUAGUUUUUUUUUGCGUGUAAAAUAAUAAGGCUAGUGAAUAUAUUAAGUAGACUCGAAUUGUGAAGCGUCUUCAUAACAUGUGAGGCCAUACAUUAAUUUGCAGGUGCAGCUCCUGUAACCUCUGAUCUGCAUUUGCAAAACCAAUCUUUCAUCCAUUAGAGACAAAAUACUGGCACAAAAAUAGAAGACCGUCAUAAGAUGCUAACGAUGCUUGCUAUUCGAAUGAAGCUGUAACAAGAUCUCAAACGGAAGAAAAUAACAUCACCGUCACCUUAUAACAUACUCCCUCCGUUCAGAAAUAACAUAUUACAGGAGAUUAGUAAGCUAUGAAGGCCAUCUCCAAUGGACGUACGCUAAUUUAGAUGCACUCGCAUUUACAAUGCUAAGCACGUUAGCAUAGGCAAACUGCUGGUGUGGCAGCCACAACGUUGGGAUGAAAAAAAAUCCUUAUAACUAAUUAAAUACAUUACUUAUAAUAACUAAUUAAAUACAUUACUUAUAUAGAACCCAAUGCAUAAAAUACACAAGAAACAGACAGGCGCCAGGCACAAAAUUGAACGCCAGGUUUAGGGUGGAAAUAAAUUCUACACUAGCAAAACUACCGGGAUUAUUUCCCCUAGCAACAACCUUAAGCAUCCCAUUGGAGAUGGCCGAAGUGAUCAGAAGAGACGUGAGCACAUUUGUCCAUUCACAGCCUAGGACGUUCAUACAAAGAUUUAAAUCGCCGGCGAAAUCUGCCCGCGAUUUGCAUGGCUCGGUAAAUCGCCGGAGAUCGCGGCGCUAUCGCGGGCGAUUGUGCCAUUCCUUCGUUAACCGUCGCAGCAAAAAUCUCAGCUGCGAUUCACCUUCGCCCGCGAUUUUAAUCUAUGCGUUCAUACAUCCCAAUCCCACAAAACAAGAAAAUUAUUCUGAUAAAGCUUAACAUAACCAAGAAACCAGGCUCAACAUAACCAACAAACUAACAAGGUAUUGCAAUGUAAACAACUUUACACUAUACAAUAGCAUAUCAAAGAUUAAUCUUCUCUUUUUUCUCAAAAAAAUAAAUAAAUAAUCAUAACCCAUGCCAACAGGACUGUUGUUGAAUUAUAGUUCAGACAAGAUUGGUAUAUACUAUAUCUGAGGUGACAAGCUUAACAUCGCUUGAAAAUUCUUUCUAGUGAGUUAUCAUAGUAUAGCCAUAAGCCAAGCAUGCUGAACUGGCCAGAUCUUGUCAUAAGUUAUCUUCACCAUCACAUCCCCUAAUAUACACAGUUGUCAUAAAUGUUAACUACAAUGAUCAAAACAGUGGAUGCGAUCAUUUAACCAAUGACCACUGCAUUGACAGGUGUUCAAAUUGACCAUGUCAUCUCUAUUUAUACGUACUAAAUAAAAGCACACGAAAUAGCAGUCAUCUCCAACAAGCGACCAAAGGAGGGUUAGGUGGAUUGUGUAAUUGGUUGACUGGAACAGCAAGGAAGUCUCCUGGAGAGGCAAACAAACACAUCGCUCGAAUAAUUCUGAAGAUACCAAGCCAGACAAUGACAUAGCUAGCAUAAAUCCGUUUAGAACAAGGAUACAGGAUACAUGCCCAGUAGUGACAGCUAGUUGCGAGAACUGUGUCAGUGCACUGCAAGAACAUGUUGGAGAAAAUAACUGUACACAUUGAUUUUGUACAGUUUCGUAACCAUGAUUUUCUUAGCAACAGAACUCAAAAGUGUUAUUCUGGUCCACAAUGAUGCCAUGCAUGCCGCCCGAGCAUUGGAGUGCUAGUAUAUUUUGAACUGCAAAAACGUCUUAUAUAUUGGGACAGAGGUAGUACUAUCUAGACACUUCCAAGUCCUGAGAAAUGCAAGUUUGGCCUAAAUUGGGUACAUUUGUUUUCCCUCUUUUUUGCAGAUUGGGUGUAUUUGUUCUAACAAAACACAGCCAGCAUAUGCUGCUAGAAUUAAGGAUACCAAUCAUUAUUCCGUUUUAACUAUAGAGGGUAUAUGCCCUGUAGUGACAGCUAGUUGCAAGAACCAUGCCAGUGCACUGUACUCCAGGAGAAGAGUACAUGUUGGAGAAAUAACUGUAGACAAUUAUCUUGAAAAAGUUUCAUCAGCAAGAUUGUCUUAGCAACAAAAACCACAAGCAUUAUUCUGACCCACUAUUCGUGCCAUGCAUGCUGUCCGGGAAUUGGAAUGGUCGUAUAUGGCACCUUUAAUGAUACUACCUAGACAUUUCCUUGAGAUAUGAAGUUUAGUUGAAAAUGGGUAACUUUAUUAUGGCAUAUUUAUACUGAAGGGCCAGUAUAUAAUUGAAGAAUUUCCACAGCUUUUCACAGUUGGUUUGGUUCCAUGAUACUAUAACUGAAUUGGCAGAUGCCAACACCUACAACUCUUAAGCUCAAACAACACAGGGUUGCUAAAAAAUAGAAUGCUAAAUAUUAUUAGAUAGCCUUCUGUCUUGUUAUCAAAUUGGCGAUGCCAAAUGAUACUUAUUUGUCUUUGGCAAGAGGCUGAAUUUCAAAGGCCCAUGCGUUAAUCAUGAUUCAAUGAUUUGGACUUACUGUUAAAAAUAUCUGCCAAUUAAUCCCUGCUCGGUUGGUCACCAAGAUUAACAGAUUUAUCAGCCGAAGAAUUGGCCGAUUCGCCUACUAAUCCCCUACUCUCCAGCUUACCAAGAAGUUACCAGUUAAUGAUUUCCUGAACAUUAUUUUUUUUCAGUAGUUUAUAUAUGGAGGGAUCAAUCAAUGACAAAAGGUGUGUAUGUUAGUGCAGCAAAAGCAAAUGAAAACAGGGACACUUCUAGUUCAACCAAUGCUACCAUAGAAGCAUAUUUUAACUACAAAAUAAAUUUGCAUCACAUGAUCACAACAUAGAUUUCAGACUGAUUAUACACAAUUGUGUCACAACAUGUGUCAAGCUAAAGACAUGCAGAAGAAAAAACAUCUGCAAUUUUGUGAUUUAGGCCAAGGGAAGAAAAAACAUCUGCAAUUUUGUGAUUUAGGCCAAGGAACUAUUUCUGGGCAGGGAUAUAGGAAGGUACUGAUACUCUGUACCACAGCAUUACUCUAAACAUUUCUCAUUUUAAGGAAAAAAAAUCAACCUAUCAUGAUGUUCAAAUGAACCACGCACAUCAUGUUGCUAUCAUGGGCACCUUACAAGCUGAUGAAUAGGCAGCAAAUAGCAGCAUUUGUUUUUUUAGCGUACACCUCUAGAAAAUAAAGUGCAAUAACAGGACCAAUCAAUUCAGGAAUAGAACAUAAAAUUCCCAUAACAAAAAACUAAACACUAGAACAUGACAUGAUCAACCAUGGAAAGGCAAUUUAAUCAAUGUUUAGAGGGAUGAAAUCAGUUAUCAGACCCUUGUUCAGAUAGUACUUCAGCCUCAACUGCAGUAGGUUUCUUCCACACUCUGUCAGUACUCCUCUCCAGCACUUCGCCGUUCUCGUUCUCCUCGCCUUGGACUGGGGAAACCCUCCUCCCAGAGGACCUAACCUCAGGUGGUGCUUCACGCACCUUCAGGGCCUCAAGCUUCUCAUCAAUCUUCCUCCAAUCUUCCCCCUUCCCAGCAAGCACUUCCUCCCGUGGGCGGGCUGCCCC